rnacentral:rRNA from 1 species
GAUGAACGCUAGCUACAGGCUUAACACAUGCAAGUCGAGGGGCAGCAUGAAAGGAACUUCGGUUCUUUUUGAUGGCGACCGGCGCACGGGUGCGUAACGCGUAUCGAACCUGCCUCAUACUCGGGGAUAGCCUUGCGAAAGUAAGAUUAAUACCCGGCGGUCUCGGAUGGCCGCAUGACUAUCCGAGUGAAGAUUUAUCGGUAUGAGAUGGCGAUGCGUCCCAUUAGCUAGUUGGUGAGGUAAUGGCUCACCAAGGCAUCGAUGGGUAGGGGUUCUGAGAGGAAGGUCCCCCACAUUGGAACUGAGACACGGUCCAAACUCCUACGGGAGGCAGCAGUGAGGAAUAUUGGUCAAUGGACGAAAGUCUGAACCAGCCAAGUAGCGUGCAGGAAGACGGCCCUCUGGGUUGUAAACUGCUUUUAGUUGGGAAUAAAAAGAGGGACGUGUCCCUUAUUGUAUGUACCAUCAGAAAAAGGACCGGCUAAUUCCGUGCCAGCAGCCGCGGUAAUACGGAAGGUCCAGGCGUUAUCCGGAUUUAUUGGGUUUAAAGGGAGCGCAGGCGGCGGCGUAAGUCAGUUGUGAAAUCGUGCGGCUUAACCGUGCAAUUGCAGUUGAUACUGCGUCGCUUGAGUGCACACAGGGAUGUUGGAAUUCAUGGUGUAGCGGUGAAAUGCUUAGAUAUCAUGAAGAACUCCGAUCGCGAAGGCAUAUGUCCGGAGUGCAACUGACGCUGAGGCUCGAAAGUGUGGGUAUCAAACAGG